rnacentral:misc_RNA from 1 species
UGAAAAACGCAUACCACACCAAGUACCGGGGAAUGAUAUAUGCUCAAAAUUUCUCAUGUGAAACAUUGCGGAAAGGUGUUUUUGUUGCUGGAGCAGUGUUUGUAGUUGCAACAAUGGUUCUUAAUGUAUACUACUACAUGUAUUUCUCCAAGGCUACUGCCCCUCAGGCAGCACAGAAAGCGAAUCGUACAAGUUCAAAUGUUGGGAUGGCUGGGUAUGCAUAGAAAAUCAUCUAUGGGACCAAAUAACUAAGUUUUGUUUCAUGAUAUUUUGAGUUCUUUUGGUGAUUGUAUCAUGCAAUUAUAUUGUCGUGCUUAUGUCGAAAUAUAUAGUGCGUCUAUGAUUUGUGAAAGCACAAUCAGGGAAAUUUUUUUUUUCUAAAUUUGACUUUCUAUUCGUCUUAUUUAUCUUGAUAAAAAUG